ACAACUCUCAGACAUAUAUCUUCGAUUGAUCUCCUGCACAGGCUCGCCAUCAGGCUCUCCAUCAGUCGGCAACUCAAUUGGAAUCGUAAUUAACUUCUCCCCAGUUGAAGAUCUUCAUAGAUUUGGCACACAAUUCUCAGACAUAUAUCUUCGAUUGAUCUCCUGCACAGGCUCUCCAUCAGGCUCUCCAUCAGUCGGCAACUUCAGUUGGAAUCAAAAUGAGUCAUUUACUUGCUCCUUUAAUUACACAUCAUCCUCCGACUCUCCAGCAACCUUUAAGUGCAAUAUAUAUUUCUAAGAUGAAGAUAAUGUAUGGUAAUGAAGAUUUGGAGCAGCAAGAGUGUGUAGUAUGGGGUCUUGCUUACCUCAUUCAAGGAAUAACAAUGAAAGACAGGGGUCAUUGAUUUCGAAAAACUCCGCCUCUUUGUUCGCCUUCUUCCUGAUUUUAAGUUACAGUGAGUCAAUUUCCUUUUUCUGAUUCUAAUCGAUUAAGAACUAUACGUGAUUAACCAACGAAUUGUGGUAGAUUUUAUGUUUCUAUUGCAGUAUUUGGAUUGAAUUGACUGUUGCAA